rnacentral:rRNA from 1 species
CCCGCCGGCGACCGGCGCACGGGUGAGUAACACGUAUGCAACCUGGCCGCCACAGGGGGAUAACCCGCGGAAACGCGGCCUAAUACCCCGUGACGCCACCGGAGGGCAUCCUCCGGUGGCCAAAGGAGCGAUCCGGUGGCGGAUGGGCGUGCGGCGCAUUAGCUAGACGGCGGGGUGACGGCCCACCGUGGCGACGAUGCGUAGGGGUUCUGAGAGGAAGGCCCCCCACACUGGGACUGAGACACGGCCCAGACUCCUACGGGAGGCAGCAG